GACGAACGCUGGCGGCGUGCUUAACACAUGCAAGUCGAACGGAAAGGCCCUGCUUUUGUGGGGUGCUCGAGUGGCGAACGGGUGAGUAACACGUGAGUAACCUGCCCUUUACUUUGGGAUAACUUCAGGAAACUGGGGCUCAUACCGGAUAUGAUCUCCUGCUGCAUGGUGGUGGUUGGAAAGUGUCGGCGGUUGGGUCUGGACUCGCGGGUUAUCAGCUUGUUUGGCGGGUAGUGGCUUUCCAAGGCUUUGACGGGUAGCCUGCCUUAGAGGGUGACCGGCCACAUUGGGACUGAGAUACGGCCCAGACUCCUACGGGAGGCAGCAGUGGGGAAUAUUGCACAAUGGGCGGAAGCCUGAUGCAGCAACGCCGCGUGCGUGAUGCCGGCCUUCGGGUUGUAAACCGAUUUCGCAUGUGACGAAGAGUGAGUGACGGUAAUGGGUAAAGAAGCACCGGCUAACUACGUG
rnacentral:rRNA from 1 species